AUACCAGUACAGGGCCCAAUGGUACUGUGAUUGGAAUGAAUACAAUUUAAAAACCUUAAUGAGGAACGAUUGGAGGGCAAGUCUAGUGCCAGCAGCCGCGGUAAUUCCAGCUCCAAUAGUGUAUAAAAGUUGCUGCAGUUAAAAAGCUCGUAGUUGGAUUUCGGAUAAUAAAAAUUUAAUAUCCAUCCUUAAAAUGUGAUUUAAUUUUUAUUUCCUUCCUUUUGAAUACACUCCCUAAACUCUUUUAGGGAAUUAAGUGUUUCAAAUCGUUUACUGUGAAGAAAUUAGAGUGUUCAAAGCAGGCGUAACCUAGCCUUUGAAUAUAUUAGCAUGGGAUAAUGAAAUAGGACUUUAGUCCUACUUUCGUUGGUUUCUAGGGCUGAAGUAAUGAUUAAUAGGGAUAGUUGGGGUCACUAGUAUUUAAUUGUCAGAGGUGAAAUUCUAAGAUUUAUUAAAGACUAACUACUGCGAAAGCAUUUGACAAGGAUGUUUUCAUUAAUCAAGAACGAAAGUUGGGGGAUCGAAGAUGAUCAGAUACCGUCGUAGUCUCAACCAUAAACUAUGCCGACCAAGGAUCCGGGGUUGUUAAUAUGGAUGACUCUCCGGGCACUUAUAGAGAAAUCAUAAGUAUUUGGGCUCCGGGGGGAGUAUGGUCGCAAGGCUGAAACUUAAAGGAAUUGACGGAAGGGCACCACAAGGAGUGGAACCUGCGGUUUAAUUUGACCCAACACGGGGAAACUUACCAGGUCCAGACACAGUGAGGAUUGACAGAUUGAGAGUUCUUUCUUGAUUCUGUGAGUGGUGGUGCAUGGCCGUUUCUAGUUGGUGGAGUGAUUUGUCUGGUUAAUUCCGUUAACGAACGAGACCUUAACCUAUUAAAUAGUUGUUUGAACUUGAUUUUUUAAAUCAAAUGCUCAUUUAACUUCUUAGAGGGACUCUUCACUGAGAGAGUGAAUGGAAGUUUGAGGCAAAAACAGGUCUGUGAUGCCCUUAGAUGUUCUGGGCCACACGCGCGUUUCACUGACAUAUUCAACGAGCAUUAUCCUUGCCCGUCGGGGUUGGGUAAUCUUUUAAAUGUAUGUCGUGCUGGGGAUAGAUCAUUGUAAUUAUUGGUCUUGAACGAGGAAUUCCUAGUAAGUGCGAGUCAUCAACUCGCGCUGAUUACGUCCCUGCCCUUUGUACACACCGCCCGUCGCUCCUACCGAUU
rnacentral:rRNA from 1 species